rnacentral:rRNA from 1 species
AAUAGAUACCCUGGUAGUCCACCCCGUAAACGUUGGGAACUAGUUGUGGGGACCAUUCCACGGUUUCCGUGACGCAGCUAACGCAUUAAGUUCCCCGCCUGGGGAGUACGGCCGCAAGGCUAAGACUCAAAGGAAUUGACGGGGACCCGCACAAGCGGCGGAGCAUGCGGAUUAAUUCGAUGCAACGCGAAGAACCUUACCAAGGCUUGACAUAUACGAGAACGGGCCAGAAAUGGUCAACUCUUUGGACACUCGUAAACAGGUGGCGCAUGGUUGUCGUCAGCUCGUGUCGUGAGAUGUUGGGUUAAGUCCCGCAACGAGCGCAACCCUCGUUCUAUGUUGCCAGCACGUAAUGGUGGGAACUCAUGGGAUACUGCCGGGGUCAACUCGGAGGAAGGUGGGGAUGACGUCAAAUCAUCAUGCCCCUUAUGUCUUGGGCUUCACGCAUGCUACAAUGGCCGGUACAAAGGGCUGCAAAUCCGUAAAGGUGGAGCGAAUCCCAAAAAGCCGGUCCCAGUUCGGAUUGAGGUCUGCAACUCGACCUC